rnacentral:lncRNA from 1 species
CCCUCUUCCUCACUGAAGUUUACACCCACCAAAUACUUGUAGAUGGUUAUCGUGUUUCCUUUAGUCAUUGUUUAGCUAGGAAGUACACGUCUAAUCCAACUUCUGCUGGUGUAACACUGGACAUGGGAGGAAUAAGGCCCGCCUCAUGGAGAACAUAAGGCGAGCUGCUUCAGCAUAAAGCUUUUUAAGAACUUCCCUCUGGCAAGUAAUUCACAGCUGGCCUCAAAGGAGGCAUUACUAGCCAGGAGGAGGGCAAGGCAAGAGAUGCUAAAAGAUGAUCUGAUUUAGGGCUUUGUCAAUCAGGCCUUAGUGGUUGGGAUGAUACGAGAUAGACUCGUGUAUUCCCCAAGCUGAAAUCUCUUGAGCCCAAACCACUACUGGCAGUGAAUUAACCAUCUGCUAACCGUGGUGAGGCACUGCCUGGAAGAGUGCAAGCUGGACCAGGCCAAAACCAUAUCAAAGACUGCAUCCGUAAUCUGCGGUGCAAAUGAGCAUGGACACCUCUCAGGCUCAUACCCUGACUGCUUUCUGUUCACUGGUGCACACACACAGCCAGAGCAGCCUCUGCUUGGCUUGACAAGCAGAGGGCUCACAGGAGACCUGUGGUGGACACAACACCUGGCCCAGCUCUGUGGGCCCUUUGGACUGCAGGGACUGGAGUUUGGAGCACUGGACAAGGCACAGAGGAUCAUGAUCUGGAGGACAGUCUGCCUGCAACUACUGAACCCAUGUAUCCACAGAGCAACGUAAACCCAAACACCUUAAACAAAGAGGAAACUGGAACUGGGGCCAGUAAACAGCAUGUCCAAAAGGAAGAGAGUCCUGGGAGGCAAGGAAAAUCAAAGUUUGGCCAGGAUACAGAAGUUCCCACCUCCAGCAAACGCUGCCACAAGAGGCACAGGGACUGCGGCAGCUGAAACCCGGGGUUACACCGCAUCCAAGAAGGGCAGGAGCAGUGCAAGCAGCCGAGCAGGAGCCAGCAUCUCGCCCACCUCCUGUGCCUUCUCCCCAGCAGACAGGGCGCCUUUCUUGUCUGCCACUCGCUGUUCCCGGCACGAGCUGAUGAGGCGCCUUGUUCUCCCCCAGUUGGUACAAAAUAGGCGGCCGUCUUCCAGGAAAGGCACAAAUCUCCUUUGACAAGCAGUGAUAUUAACAGGGAUUAGGGAAUGCAGGAGCCACCGCAAUAAUCGUCCAAAGGGUGCGGCCUGGGCUGCCCGGCCUGGAAGCUCUUUAAUCACAGCCAGAGGUUACGUGGAGGAAGGGGCUGCGCUUUCAAACCACUUACUUUGAAAAGAACACCAGGAAAACUUGCUGGCAAUUUGCAUGCAGAAUGAGAAGUGAUGGACUGUUAACCCUUUGGUAGUGGCUGCUGCUUGAGCACCACUGCGCCUGGAGUGCGGGCACACGUUUGUGGCUCUGGAUGUGGAAGUUACAAUCUCCUGGAGCCAUGCCUGUGUUGACAUAGCUACAAGAUCUUAUGCAAAGAGGUGAAAAAAAGGGAAAGGCUGAGCUCUUGUGAGGAGUGCAGUCAUUUCUCUGACUGCCACAUAAUGGCAGCCCAGGUGCCAUUUUGCUCCAGCACCAUUGGUCUCAGCACGAGGUAUAAGAACCCACCCGGGAAGCUGAGGGAACAUUCAGUGAGCUCUGAAGCUCUCUUCACCACAACAGUGCUGCUGCAGUCACCACAACUGACCUGGUGUACACGUGUGGGUGUGUGCAUGUGUGACAGCAAUCCUCUGGGCCUCCCAAAUGCCACCCAUCGAUGUGAUAUGCUGAGCUAUGGAAACAGCAACACACAACACCAUGCUCUGACUCUUGUCUUUGUGUGAAGCUGGUUACACCCAGCCCUUGGUUCUAGGCAGUUUCAAGUGAAGGUUCUCUUCCUCGUUUAUUUUCAAACAGAAAGGAGGAGAGGGAAAGGACACAUGGACAAAAGGAUGAUGAUUCAAAGCACCCAUCAGCCUCAGCCAGCUCAGAUCACUAGGUGCCUGCUACCCCGUAUCAACGGUAUGCAGCCAGCCCUCAAGUCCAUGUGUAAAUAAUCACAACCACUGAGCUCCUCAUGGGUCCUAGCGAGAAAAAUUGCCUUUGUGAAACUGCCACAGGAUGUGCCUUAUUCUCUGGUCUGUAUUCAUUAUUCCCUUGUUUAAAAAUUUCAUUUAUGCAGUCAGGAACAAUGCCGUGAGAUCUAGGCCAACAACUGCACAUUCAAACUAACUGGGAAGAAAAGCCAAAGCAAAUAGUCCUGGGUUCUGCAGCACACAGCACACACUGGAUAAUUACCCACCCAAAAUAUUCAGAGAAAAACAAGUACAGUAUUGACACACACACACACACACAAAAAAAGUCAAGAUUGGUCCACAAAUAAUUUAGCAGCCAAAUCUUGAACUAACAAAUUAUGAGUUUCAAUGAAGCACUCGCAGGGCUCCAUUCAGCAUCGCAGGAGCUGUGGGAUUGUCCCCAUUGUUGAUGCCCGCUGGAGGACUGCUGGGUGCCAGAGCAGAACACCCUGCCUGCAGGCGUUUGGGAGGUGCUGUGUCCCUUUCAGCACAGUCUGAAGUCUGAAAAGCGUCAAAAUUCCGGUGCUGUGAACAGCAGCUGCCCCUAAAGCUCUGAACCAUCACCCUGAGAGGCAGCUCCUGAGCCUGUGCCAACCCUGUAGUGCUGGACCUGCUCCCGUAUGCGUGUGGACUCACUUCCUUCACUGCAGUACAUUUGGUCCCUCCUUGGCAUGCUAAUAUAAGUAAGGUCACUUGCACAAACACACCCUGUUUAUCUUCCUCGCUGCAACCAGCUCUCACCCUCUCCAAAUAUGAUUGCUAUGUCCUCGCUUGCACGGAAUCAUAGAAUCGCUAAGGUUGGAAAAGACCUCUCAGAUCAUCUAAUCCAACCAUCAGCCCAUCCCCACCAUGCCCACUAACCACGUCCCCCAGUGCCACAUCCACACGGUUCCUGAACACCUCCAGGGACGGUGACUCCACCACCUCCCUGCACAGCUUGUACCAAUGCACCACCACUCUUCCUGAGAAGAAAUGUUUCCUAAUAUCCAACCUGAACCUCACUCUGGAAUGUCCUGUUUCAGUGUCCCUGUCUGAUUCUCACCCUCCUCCUGGGCUGAGCAGCACUGACCCUGCCUUGCAAUGAGAUGAAUCCCCAGAGGUGGACCUGCAGUUGGUGAGAAAUUAGAUGUCAUGAUGAAAAUGGAAGGCUUAGGAGAGAGCAGGGGUCAAACGGAUUAUUCUCCUCAUGUUGCUUUCAGGUUUUCUGUUCAGAAAAUCCCCUUCCAGGUAUCAGCAAGGCAAGUCAGAGGUGGUGAAGGCAGUUUCCACUCAGCCGUUUUCAACUCAAGUAGUUCAUGGUGACUCCUGUCGGGUAGCAUCUUUCACAGAGCUGCAACCUGACUGACCACUGAGGGAGCCCCAGUGGCUUUGAAAUAUGGCAAUAUGGACCAGGAUUCGUAUGUCUCUACUAAGGAUCUCUGGAGGAGAGAAGUAGCAGAGCUAUGAUACAAGACCUUAUCCAGACCAACCUUCUUGAGCCACUUACAUGGCAGAUAGAAUUUACUGCCUAAAUGGCCAGACCCAGAGGGUAGUGAACAGCAGUGCAACGUCCACAUGUUCAAAUUUGAAUAAGGCAGCUAGCUUCCCAUCUCCCAGUAACCCAGCUGAGGGCUGUUUUAGUGCAGACUCCUUUGAAUGUCCACACAGGGAAUGACAGAUCACAGUACUUCAUCCUACAGUAAUAGGAGGAAAAACAACAGAUCAAAGGUGUCCUCCUUAAUCUGUUUUGAUAUGUGCUCCCCUAUCUCAGUUCAUAAGGCG